rnacentral:rRNA from 1 species
GACGAACGCUGGCGGCGUGCUUAACACAUGCAAGUGGAGCGACGAACCAGGGCUCGCCCUGGGGCAGAGCCGCGAACGGGUGAGUAACACGUGGGUAACGUGCCCCAAUGAUCGGGACAACCCGGGGAAACCCGGGCUAAUACCGAAUGUGCUCCCCUCACACCAGUGAGGGGUGAAAAGGAAGCUUCGGCCUCCGCAUUGGGAUCGGCCCGCGGCCCAUUAGCUUGUUGGUGAGGUAACGGCUCACCAAGGCUGCGAUGGGUAGCUGGUCUGAGAGGACGAUCAGCCACACUGGGACUGAGACACGGCCCAGACUCCUACGGGAGGCAGCAGUGAGGAAUAUUGGUCAAUGGGCGAGAGCCUGAACCAGCCAAGUCGCGUGAAGGAAGACGGCCCUACGGGUUGUAAACUUCUUUUAUAGGGGGAUAAAAAAGAGUACGUGUACUCUCUUGUAGGUACCCUACGAAUAAGGAUCGGCUAACUCCGUGCCAGCAGCCGCAGUAAAAC